AUUCACGAGUUAAGGAAAUCGAAUUACUCAAGUUCUUAUUUGUUCUCGAGGAAAUUCUCGCCGGAUUGUUUGAGACCAUUGAUGAAAAUCGCCAAUAAGGUCAUUUUCCAGGACUGAAAAUGCUUGUUCCUGGUGAAUAAGGAGUUUUGAUUAUGAUGACGAUUUGGACAAUUGGAAAAGAUACUGCGGGCGGGAGAGUAAGUUUGGUUGGGGAAUAGUUUUGAAGAGUCUUAAUGUGCUCAAAAUCCAUUAAAAUCCGAAGGAACCAACUCAGAGGUGAUCCUUUCCUGAAGGGGAAAGAAAGGGAUCACAAGAUAGACAAAGUGGGAAACAAAAGUAGAUACCUUUGCUAUAGGGUGUGUUUUGAUGGGGUAAGAGGGUCAAAAAAAGGGUUAGUGGUAGUUUUGUCUCUUUUGUUGUCUCUGUUUUUGUACAUAUGUGAAUGAAGUGAUGAAAUAGUUUAGGUUGUUGAGGGAAAACAAAUCAAUACUGCAAAAAGCAAAAGCAAAUGUGUCGGAGAGAAUAGUAAUGGGCUCUCAUCAAAGAAAUUUUCAUGUCUUGAUAUAUUCUUUUCUUGGUUAAUCUUAAAAGUAAAUUUAUGGUUUUUUUUUUUUUUUUUUUUUUUU
rnacentral:misc_RNA from 1 species